rnacentral:rRNA from 2 species
GGAAAGGUGAAAAGAACCCCGAACAGGGGAGUGAAAUAGAACCUGAAACCAUACGCUUACAACCUGUCGGAGCAGCUUCGUGCUGUGACGGCGUGCCUAUUGAAUAAUGAGCCUACGAGUUACUAAUCACUGGCGAGGUUAAGUGCACGGAUGCACGGAGCCGAAGCGAAAGCGAGUCUUAAUAGGGCGUUUAGUCAGUGGUUGUAGACGCGAAACCUUGCGAUCUACCCUUGAGCAGGUUGAAGGUUGGGUAAAACCAACUGGAGGACCGAACGAAUAAGCGUUGAAAAGCUUCUCGAUGACUUGAGGGUAGGGGUGAAAGGCUAAUCAAGCUGGGAAAUAGCUCGUACUCCCCGAAAUGCCUUUAGGGGCAGCGUUGUAAUAAAGAGUCUACUGGAGGUAGAGCUACUGAUUGGAUGCGGGGGCUUCACCGCCUACCAAAUCCUGACAAACUCCGAAUGCCAGUAGUAUGAUUUACAGCAGUGAGCGACCGGGUGCUAAUGUCCGGUUACGAGAGUGGAACAACACAGACCAGCAACUAAGGUCCCCAAGAGUAUACUAAGUUGAUCUAACGAUGUUUUGUUGCAGAGACAGCUAGGAUGUUAGCUUGGAAGCAGCUAUUCAUUCAAAGAGUGCGUAACAGCUCACUAGUCGAGCGACAAAGCGUGGAUAAUAAACGGGCAUCAAGUAUACCACCGAAGUUCUGGGCACGAAAGUGCGGUAGGGGAGCAUUCCAUUCAGCGUCGAAGCCGAAUCGUGAGAUUUGGUGGAGCGUAUGGAAAAGCAAAUGUAGGCAUGAGUAACGAUAAUGCGGGAGAGUAACCCGCACACCGCAAGACCAAGGUUUCCUGAUCAACGCUAAUCGGAUCAGGGUUAGUCGGGUCCUAAGGGUAAGCCGAACGGUGAUCUCGAUGGAUAAUCGGUUAAUAUUCCGAUACUGACAUAUACCUCGAUGGAGAGACGAAGGAACGUAAGUGCCGCCACCUGACGGAAUAGGUGGUUAAAGGGCUUAGGUAUAGGGACAGAUUAAGAGUUAGUCCUUGCUGAAACCUGACAGUACAGAGAGCCUACGGGCAAUUUGAUAGUGCACCCAAGUCGACUUCCGAGAAAAUCUUCUAAGUUAUAGUAUAUGUCACCCGUACCGUAAACCGACACAGGUGGUCGAGGAGAGUAUCCUAAGGUGCUCGAGUGAAUCACGGUUAAGGAACUAGGCAAAUUAACCCCGUAACUUCGGGAAAAGGGGUCCCAUCGCGAGGUGGGCGCAGCGAAGAGGUCCAGGCGACUGUUUAUCAAAAACACAGGGCUCUGCAAAUUCGAAAGAAGACGUAUAGGGCCUGACACCUGCCCGGUGCUGGAAGGUUAAGAGGGGAUGUCAUCGCAAGAGAAGCAUUGAAUCGAAGCCCCAGUAAACGGCGGCCGUAACUAUAACGGUCCUAAGGUAGCGAAAUUCCUUGUCGGGUAAGUUCCGACCUGCACGAAUGGUGUAACGAUCUGGACACUGUCUCAACCGUGAGCUCGGUGAAAUUGUAGUCCCGGUGAUGAUGCCGGGUACCCGCAACGGGACGAAAAGACCCCGUGAACCUUUACUAUAGCUUAACGCUGAAUUUGGGUACACAAUGUGUAGGAUAGGC